GUGCCAGCCGCCGCGGUAAUACGUAGGUGGCAAGCGUUGUCCGGAUUUAUUGGGUUUAAAGGGUGCGUAGGCGGCCCUGUAAGUCAGUGCUGAAAUAUCCCGGCUUAACCGGGAGGGUGGCAUUGAUACUGCAGGGCUUGAGUACAGAUGAAGUAGGCGGAAUUGACGGUGUAGCGGUGAAAUGCAUAGAUAUCGUCAAGAACACCGAUAGCGAAGGCAGCUUACUAAGCUGUAACUGACGCUGAGGCACGAAAGUGUGGGGAUCAAACAGGAUUAGAAACCCGCGUAGUCC
rnacentral:rRNA from 1 species